rnacentral:tRNA from 2 species
GCGAGAUAGCUCAGUUGGCUAGAGCAUUUGGUUCAUACCCAAAGGGUCGUGGGUUCGAAUCCCUCUCUCGC